ACGGACUCCUACGGGAGGCAGCAGUAGGGAAUCUUCCGCAAUGGACGAAAGUCUGACGGAGCAACGCCGCGUGAGUGAUGAAGGUUUUCGGAUCGUAAAGCUCUGUUGUUAGGGAAGAACAAGUACCGUUCGAAUAGGGCGGUACCUUGACGGUACCUAACCAGAAAGCCACGGCUAACUACGUGCCAGCAGCCGCGGUAAUAAU
rnacentral:rRNA from 1 species